rnacentral:rRNA from 1 species
GACGAACGCUGGCGGCGUGCUUAACACAUGCAAGUCGAACGGAAAGGCCCUGCUUUUGUGGGGUGCUCGAGUGGCGAACGGGUGAGUAACACGUGAGUAACCUGCCCUUGACUUUGGGAUAACUUCAGGAAACUGGGGCUAAUACCGGAUAGGAGCUCCUGCUGCAUGGUGGGGGUUGGAAAGUUUCGGCGGUUGGGGAUGGACUCGCGGCUUAUCAGCUUGUUGGUGGGGUAGUGGCUUACCAAGGCUUUGACGGGUAGCCGGCCUGAGAGGGUGACCGGCCACAUUGGGACUGAGAUACGGCCCAGACUCCUACGGGAGGCAGCAGUGGGGAAUAUUGCACAAUGGGCGGAAGCCUGAUGCAGCAACGCCGCGUGCGGGAUGACGGCCUUCGGGUUGUAAACCGCUUUCGCCUGUGACGAAGCGUGAGUGACGGUAAUGGGUAAAGAAGCACCGGCUAACUACGUGCCAGCAGCCGCGGUGAUACGUAGGGUGCGAGCGUUGUCCGGAUUUUAUUGGCGUAAAGGGCUCGUANGUGGUUGAUCGCGUCGGAAGUGUAAUCUUGGGGCUUAACCCUGAGCGUGCUUUCGAUACGGGUUGACUUGAGGAAGGUAGGGGAGAAUGGAAUUCCUGGUGGAGCGGUGGAAUGCGCAGAUAUCAGGAGGAACACCAGUGGCGAAGGCGGUUCUCUGGGCCUUUCCUGACGCUGAGGAGCGAAAGCGUGGGGAGCGAACAGGCUUAGAUACCCUGGUAGUCCACGCUGUAAACGGUGGGUACUAGGUGUGGGGUCCAUUCCACGGGUUCCGUGCCGUAGCUAACGCUUUAAGUACCCCGCCUGGGGAGUACGGCCGCAAGGCUAAAACUCAAAGGAAUUGACGGGGCCCCGCACAAGCGGCGGAGCAUGCGGAUUAAUUCGAUGCAACGCGUAGAACCUUACCUGGGUUUGACAUGGAUCGGGAGCGCUCAGAGAUGGGUGUGCCUCUUUUGGGGUCGGUUCACAGGUGGUGCAUGGCUGUCGUCAGCUCGUGUCGUGAGAUGUUGGGUUAAGUCCCGCAACGAGCGCAACCCUUGUUCACUGUUGCCAGCACGUUAUGGUGGGGACUCAGUGGAGACCGCCGGGGUCAACUCGGAGGAAGGUGGGGAUGACGUCAAGUCAUCAUGCCCCUUAUGUCCAGGGCUUCACGCAUGCUACAAUGGCUGGUACAGAGAGUGGCGAGCCUGUGAGGGUGAGCGAAUCUCGGAAAGCCGGUCUCAGUUCGGAUUGGGGUCUGCAACUCGACCUCAUGAAGUCGGAGUCGCUAGUAAUCGCAGAUCAGCAACGCUGCGGUGAAUACGUUCCCGGGGCU